CGCAAUAUUGAUUAAAUAAAAAAUAAAAAAAAGUAAAGAUUGGUAUGGGAUUCGAACCAGGAUUAUCCACGUCCGAAGACAAACGACCAGUUCUCGUCGCCAUCCGCUCGAACUGUCAAAUCAUCUAAAAUACUCGUCGAUAGAGUAGGAUAGUGACGUCGUCGAUACUCCCCUUGAAUUAGAAAGAGACUACCGACCAAAUAGGCUCAUUUAUCUCUGUCGCAACCGUCACCCAUUUUAAGAUCGUAAGGCGCAAUCUAGAGUAUAAUAUAUCUAUGGGCAUAUUUAUUAUGUCAGGUUAUGUUAACCUAACCUAAUUUAUUUGGUUAGGAACUUUCCUUCCACCUCGAGUACAGAGUUUUGAUGUGAUAAUUCAUUGCAAGACAGUUUCAUUUAGAUUUUUUUUACUUAUUUUUGGUGUUGGAGCUUAGUGUGGUUUCCUGUUAUCUUAUUGAGAAGCUGCAAUAAAAAGUCAAAAAUGUAGUGAUAAGAAGGUGGCGGAGCAAGAAAUUGGACGAUGGUUGAGUAGAGCCGGGGAUUGCUUAAAAACUUUCAAGGAAAAGGAAUCAGAAUAAAAAUUGAAUUUAUUUAUGUUUUAAAUAAUAAAGAUAUAUUCACCUA